UGGGUGGAUGGAUGGCAGAGGUCAGAGGGAGACAGUAAGAUAGAAGACAGAGGGCUGGGAAGAAGGUGGAAGGAUAAAAGGUGGAAUCAUAGAAUCAUUUUGGUUGGAAGAGCCCCUCAAGAUCGUCAAGUUCAAACAUUAACCCAACACUGUCACUAACCCAUGUGCCUGAGAACCUCAUCUCUGUGUCUGUUCAACCCCUUCAGGGAUGGUAACUCCACCACUGCCCUGGGCAGCCUGUUCCAAUGCCCGACAGCCCUUUCCAGGAAGAAAUAGUUCCCAAGAUCCAAUCUCAACCUCCCCUGACGCAACUUGAGGACAUUUCCUCUCGUCCUAUCACUUGUUCUUUGGGAGAAGGAGAGAUAGGAGAGACAAGAAAGAUGUAGGGAUGGAAGAUGAAGGCAUGAGGUGAAAAUGGAGGAAUGGGGGAGACGACACAGAGAGAUGGUAGGAGGAAGGAAUUAUAGAGGAAGAUGGAAGGAAGGGCUUUUUGGAAUUGAGGAGAAAUUCUGGAUAUCCUGGUCCAGGGGAAGUGAGAGAGAUGGAGGUCAAGUGGGGCUUGGAGCCCCAAGUGUCCUCCUUGGCAGCCUGUGGAUGAAGGGACAGGGCUGGCAUGGGACAGGGGCCCAGGGCCACCAAGUGGGGCCAGUGGCGCAGAAGGGCUUUUGUGUCCCACACAUGGGGACAAGAGGGGUCCCUGCAAGGCACACAUGGGGCAAACCCACAUUUCUGCCUUGGUGGAAAUGCUUUAGCCCAGGAACAAAGGGCAAAGUGAGGGACAUAUGGAGAAAAACAGGUUUCUGCACCUGCAACAUGUGUAUUGCUUGUUCGAGUAUUUGUGGUUUAUUAUCAUAAUUUCAUUUAACAGGAGAUGGGGUUCAGGUCCUAGGAGGACAAGGAAACCAUGAGUAAUCUCCUUUGAGGUCCUGCACAGUGUGACUGGGAGAGCGAAUAAUCUGCAGUGCUGGUAAUUUGUAUGUAUCUGGGAUGCGAACACCCCGGGCUGCCUGCCUGGAUUUGCCUUCACACUGAGGGUGUUUCUUCCUGUGGCAGCAGCUGCCUGCACCGGACAAACGCUGCCCAAGUCCCAAACCCAGCACCGAGCAACACAGCAGGGAAAACACAGCCCAGGAGGAGCAGGAAGGCAGAGCGUGAGCACAGGUUGUCUCUGCUCCCUUCACUGAGAGAUGUCCCCGAGAGAGGGAGAAUUAAGCAAACCCUUCAGUGGGGCAGGAUCGGGCGCUCUGGCACUAUACGGAGCUCAGGUUUGUAUCUCUGCUGUGCCUGGAGUUAGCGCUGCCGUCUCGCUUGGGUGAAGGGUGGUAGGGAAGGGGCUGCAUGGUGACUUUCUCACCAAAUUCCUGAAGCCACCAGGAAGCCACAUCCCCAGAGGAAAUCUGGCAGCAGCACUGAGCCUCGUUGGGUGUCCCAUCUGUGACGUCCCAUGAGUGCUGAUGGAAUCCAGAGGCAGCAGCUCCUACAGCUCUGCAGCCUUUGCUGGCUUCCAGAUUUUCUGCCAAGCACAAAAUGUGACAUGAAAG